rnacentral:rRNA from 1 species
AUUGAACGCUGGCGGCAUGCCUUACACAUGCAAGUCGAACGGCAGCGCGGGGCAACCUGGCGGCGAGUGGCGAACGGGUGAGUAAUAUAUCGGAACGUACCCUGGAGUGGGGGAUAACGUAGCGAAAGUUACGCUAAUACCGCAUACGAUCUAAGGAUGAAAGUGGGGGAUCGCAAGACCUCAUGCUCCUGGAGCGGCCGAUAUCUGAUUAGCUAGUUGGUGGGGUAAAAGCCUACCAAGGCAUCGAUCAGUAGCUGGUCUGAGAGGACGACCAGCCACACUGGAACUGAGACACGGUCCAGACUCCUACGGGAGGCAGCAGUGGGGAAUUUUGGACAAUGGGCGCAAGCCUGAUCCAGCAAUGCCGCGUGAGUGAAGAAGGCCUUCGGGUUGUAAAGCUCUUUUGUCAGGGAAGAAACGGUGAGAGCUAAUAUCUUUUGCUAAUGACGGUACCUGAAGAAUAAGCACCGGCUAACUACGUGCCAGCAGCCGCGGUAAUACGUAGGGUGCAAGCGUUAAUCGGAAUUACUGGGCGUAAAGCGUGCGCAGGCGGUUUUGUAAGUCUGUCGUGAAAUCCCCGGGGCUCAUCCUGGGAAUUGCGAUGGAGACUGCAAGGCUAGAAUCUGGCAGAGGGGGGUAGAAUUCCACGUGUAGCAGUGAAAUGCGUAGAGAUGUGGAGGAACACCGAUGGCGAAGGCAGCCCCCUGGGUCAAGAUUGACGCUCAUGCACGAAAGCGUGGGGAGCAAACAGGAUUAGAUACCCUGGUAGUCCACGCCCUAAACGAUGUCUACUAGUUGUCGGGUUUUAAUUAACUUGGUAACGCAGCUAACGCGUGAAGUAGACCGCCUGGGGAGUACGGUCGCAAGAUUAAAACUCAAAGGAAUUGACGGGGACCCGCACAAGCGGUGGAUGAUGUGGAUUAAUUCGAUGCAACGCGAAAAACCUUACCUACCCUUGACAUGUACGGAAGCCACGAGAGAUCGAGGCGUGCUCGAAAGAGAGCCGUAACACAGGUGCUGCAUGGCUGUCGUCAGCUCGUGUCGUGAGAUGUUGGGUUAAGUCCCGCAACGAGCGCAACCCUUGUCAUUAGUUGCUACGAAAGAGCACUCUAAUGAGACUGCCGGUGACAAACCGGAGGAAGGUGGGGAUGACGUCAAGUCCUCAUGGCCCUUAUGGGUAGGGCUUCACACGUCAUACAAUGGUACAUACAGAGGGCCGCCAACCCGCGAGGGGGAGCCAAUCCCAGAAAGUGUAUCGUAGUCCGGAUUGUAGUCUGCAACUCGACUACAUGAAGUUGGAAUCGCUAGUAAUCGCGGAUCAGCAUGUCGCGGUGAAUACGUUCCCGGGUCU